GUUAUUAUGAUCACUCGCAUCGCAUUACCAUGGGGUUACUGUGUAGGUAAUGCUACGGUUAACUUAACAUGCCCACUAUUACACUGGAGAGAUGUUAGAA